rnacentral:lncRNA from 1 species
AGGCUAAUUUUUGUAUUUUUAGUGGAGAUGGGGUUUCACCAUGUUGGCCAGGCCAGUCUCAAACUCCUGACGUCAAGUGAUCUUCCCGCCUCGGCCUCCCAGAGUGCUGAGAUUACAGAUGUGAACCCAUGCCAGGCCAGGAAUUUUGUUUUUUAGGAAGGCUUUCUACUAAUGGAAUUCCUGGCCUUGAGAGGAUAUUACUUUCGACGGAAAGGAUUUUUUUGUUAUUAAAAGAGCCACCUAAGCUGAAGAUUCCCUUGAGAACAAGUACUGUCCUGCGGUUUCAUGGCCUUUCUUCCAUUUGUGGUUCUUGCGAAGUGGAAUUUAAAUGACAUCUUAUCAAGAUCGAUAAAUACUAGUUUCCCAGUGCUGGAAUAUAGAAAAUGGAUGGACAAGUAAAUCCCACUCAGCACCCAUAGUCCAGGCAUGGGGACCUCAACACACCUGAGCCCCAAACAUCACCUUUCAUUCUGGACCUACCAUGAAAGACUUCUGAAUCCAGGAAGAGAAACUGACUGGGCAACAUGUUAUUCAGACGGGGUCCUCUUAUGUUGCCCAGGCUGGUCUCAAAUUCCUAGGCUCAAGUGAUUCCGCCCACCUCUGCCUCCCAAAGUGCUGGGAUUACGGGCAUGAGCCAGCGCAUCUGGCCACCUUAUUUUCUGUUACUGGCUCAGUGUAAUGGCUCCAUCUCAGGAACAGCCAAUGAAAGAGAUGCACAGGACAAGAAACAGGACCUUGCCCUGUCACUCAGGAUGGAGUUCAAUGGUCCUAUCAUGGCUCAUUAUAGCCUUAAACUCCCAGGCUCAAGCAAUCCUACCAUGUCAGCCUUCCCAGUAGCUGGGACUACAGCUGGAGUACAGUGGCACAACCUCUGCUCAUUGCAGCCUCCACCUGCCAGGCUCAAGCAAUUCUCCUGCCUCAGCCUCCCGAGUAGCUGGGAUUACAGGAAGUGACCUCACAAUGACUCAAGCUACCACAUACUGUUGAUUGUGAAAUGCCAGUUGAAGCAUAUGUCCUGCGAGCUUAGGGGUGCUACAAGUUGACCACUGCAGCAGUAAAGAUGACUCUGAAGAAUGGCAUGGGAUGGAUCCUUUCGAAUGCACUUGAGCAGCGGUCUCCAACCACAGGGCCACAGAGCUGGAGCUGGAUCUACCAUGAAAGACUUCUGAAUCCAGGAAGAGAGACUGACUGGGCAACAUGUUAUUCAGGGUCUCCCUCUGUUGUCCAAGGCUGGAGUGUAGUAGUGCUAUCACAGCUGACUGCAGCCUCAACCUUCCAGGCUGAAGUGAUUCUCCCAUCUCAACCUCCCACGUGGCUGAGACUACAGGUGCUUGCCACUAUGCCCAACUAAUAUUUGGAAUUUUCAUAUAAGUGGAUUCCAGAGUGGUGACAGCAAAACCUGAGGCACAUGCCUUGGGAGCUAAGUGGUUACUGCACUUGACCACUAUGAAGACUGGUGUGGGAAGGGUCGCUUUGGAUGCACUUGAGCAGGGCUCCCCAACCCCUGAGCCAUGGAGCCGUAAGGAGCCACACAGCAGGAGGUGGGACCAUCCAGUUGCAGGAAAACAAGCUUAACAUGCCCACUGAUUCUACAUUAUGCUCCUACCUCCCGGCAGCCUCUCCAGGCCCAGAACUUUCUCCAGUCAGCCUCUACAGACCAAGCUCAUGACUCACAAUGGCCUAUUUAGGCCCAUACCCUACCUCACGGCAGUCUCCGCAGAUGAGCCUACUGCCUCACAACAGCCUCCACAGGCACAGCUCCAUCGUUACAAUGGCCUCUUUAGACCCAGCUCCUGCCUCCCAGCCUUCUCUCUAGGCCCUGAACUUUCUGAAGUCGACCUCACCAGGCCCAGCUCAUGCUUCUUUGCAGCCUCUCCAGGCCCAGCUCCUGCAUCUUGGUGGCCCCUCCAGGCCCAGCCUCUGCCUCCCGUCGGCCUCUACAGUCCCAACAUCUGCCUCAUAGCAGAUUCUUGAGGCCCAGCAUCUGCCUCACUGUGGACCCCCCAAGCCAAGCUCCCAACCUUUAGCAGCUUCUACACACCCAGCUCCUGCCACCCAGUGGCCUCUUUAGGCCAAGCUCAUGCUUCACAAGGGCCUUUCCAGGCCCAACUUUCGUCUCAUGGCAACCUUCCCUGGCCAGAUUCCUGCGUGUCUCCCAGCAGCCUAGACAGGCCCAGGUCUUGCCUCACACUGGCCUCUCUACAUCCAGCUCAUGCCUCACAGUGACCUCUCCAGGCACAGCUCCUGUCCCAGAACGUCAUCUCCGGGCCCAAAACUUACUCAAGUCAGCCUCUCUAGUCCCAACUGCUGCCUCCUGGUGGCCUAUGAAGGCCCAAAAUCUCCUCAAGUUGACCUCUCCCGGCCCAGCUCCUGCCUCCUGUCAGCGUCUACAGGCCCAACCUCUGCCUCAUGGGGGCUUCUCCAGGCCCAGCUCUUCCUCUUGGCUGAGUCUACAGGCACAACUGCUGCCUCACAACAGCCUUUUUUGGCCCAGUUCCUGUCCAGCUCAUGGCAGCCAAUGUAGGCCCAAAACUUCCUCAAGUCAUACUCUCCAGGCCCACCUUCUGCUUCCCGGUGGCAUGAACAGGCCCAGCUUUGACUUGAGAACAGCCUCUGCAGGGCCUGCUCUUGCCUCCCAGGGGCUUUUCCAAGCCCAGCUCUUGCCUCAUGGCAGCUGCCUCAGGCCAAAUUUCUUCCUGCCUGCCAGCAGCCUCAACAGGCACAGCUCCUCCCUCACGGUGGCCCAUUUAGGCCCAACUCAUGACUGUCGGGCCAUUUCCAGGCCUAGUGCCUGCCUCCUGGCUGACUCUUGAAGCCCAAAACUUCCUCAAAUCAGCCUUUUGCCCAACUUGUGUCUACUGUCGGACUCUACAGGCCAGCCUCUGCCUCACAGUGGACCCUGCAGACCCAGAUGGUGUCUCACUGUGGCAUCCUCAGGCAAAGCUCCUGCCUUUCGGCAGCCUCUACGGGGCCAGCUCCUGCCUUGCAGUGGCCUCUUCAGGCCAAGCUCAUGCCCCAUGGCGACUUUUCCAGGCACAGCUUUUGCCUUUUGCAGCCUGUCCAGGCCCAGAAUGUCCUUAACUCGGCAUCUCCAGGACGAGCUCAUCCUCCCAGUGCGUCUACAGGCCCAUCUCCUGCCUCACAACAACCUCCUUUGGCCCAACUCCUGCUGAGCUGCUGGCAGCCUCUGUAGGCCACAGACUUCUUAAAGUAAAGUUUUCCAGGCCCACCUUCGGCCUCCCAGCAGCCUCAGCAAUCAAACUAUUCCCUCACUGCGGCCACCGAAAGCCAAGUUUCUCCCUGCCUCACAGCAUCCUCCGAAAACUGAGCAUUUGCCUCACGGUGGCCUCCCCAGGCCACGAAUCUGCCUGCCUCCCAGGCAGGUGCUGCCUCACAAUGGUCUCUUUAGGCCCAGCUUAUGCUAAAAAAUGGACUCUCCAGGCACAGCUCUUGCCUCCUGUUAGCCUCUGCAGGCCCAAAUUCUCCAAAAGUUGGCCUCUCCUAACUCAGCUCCUGCCUCAUGUCGGCCUACACAGGCCCAGACUCUUACCACACAGUAGACCCUCCAGGCCCACCACUUGCCUGAUCAUAGCCUCCUGAGGCCAAGCUCCUGCCUUUCGGCAGCCUCUACAGGCCCAGCUCCUGCCUCACAGUUGCCUUUGUAGGCCAAGAUCAUGCCGCAAAGUGGCCUUUCCUAGCCUAACUUUUGCUUUUUGAUGCAUACUCCAGUCCCAAAACUUCCUCCAGUCAGCCGGUCCAGGCCAAGCUCUUCCUCCCAAAGGCUUCUGCAGGCCAAAAUCGUCCUGAAGUCACCCUCUGCAGGCCCAGCUCCUGCCUCCAAGUGCUGUGUAGGCCAAGCUAAUGCCUCACAGCACACUUUCCAGGCUGAGCGUUUCCUUUUGUGCAUCCUCUCCAAGCCCUGAACUUACUCCACUUGGCCUCUCCAGACCAAGCUCUCCCUCCCAGUGGCCUCUACAGGCCAAAACUGUCCUCAGGUCAGCCUCUCCAGGGCCAACUCCUAGCUACCAGUGGCUUCUACAGGCCAAAAUCGACCUCAAGUCAGCCUCUUCACACCCAGCUCUUGCCUCUGAGUGGCCUCUCCAGGAGCAAAACUUUCUCAAGUCGGCCUCUCCAGGCCCAGCCUCCUGCUUCCCGAGGGCAUGUACAGGCCCAGCCUCUGCCUCACAGCAGACUCUCCACACCCAGCUCUUCCCUGUCUGCGGCCUCUCCAGUCCAAAGCUGCUCCUGCCUUUUGGCAGCUUGUACAGGCUCAGCUCCUCCCUCACGGUGGCCUCUUUCGGCCCAACUCAUGCCUCUUGCAACCUGCCCAAGUGUCAGCUCCUGCCUCACACUGGCCUGUUGAGGCCCAGCUUAUGCCUCUCGUGGCCUCAACAGGCCCAUUCCCUGCCUGUCGGCGGCCUCUACAGGCCCGGCCUCUACCUCACAGUGGGCUCUCCAGGCCCACCUCUUCCUCACCGUGGCCUCCUGGGGCAAUGCUCCUCCCUCUCGGGAGCCUCUGCGGGCCCAGCUCCUGCCAGUGGCCUCUGUAGGCCAAGCCCAUGCCUCAGGGCAGCCUUUCCAGGCCUAGUGUUUGCUGCUUUGCAUCCUCUCCAGGCCCUGGACUUCCUCCAGUCGGCCUCUCCAGGCCCAGCUCUUCCUCUCGGCGGCCUCUGCAGGCCCAGACUGUCGUCAAGUCAGUCUGUCCAGGGCCAGCUCCUGCCUCCCGGUGGCCUCUGCAGGCCCAAGUCGUUCUCAAGUCGGCUUCCCCAGGCCCAGCUCCGGCCUCUCGGCGGCCUCUCCGGGUGCAAAAGUUCCUCGAGUCAGCCUCUCCAGGCCCAGCUCCUCCUGCCUCCCAGUGGCCUCUUUCGGCCCAGCCCAGCUCAUGCCUCCCAGCGGCCUUCCCAGGCCCCGCUUUUGACUUUCGGUGGCCUCUGCAGGCCUCGACAAGGCCUGGCCUCCUGCCUCCCGAAGGCCUGCACAGGCCCAGCCUCUGCCUCACAGCAGACUCUCCACGCCCAGCUAGCUCUCGCCUCACUGCAGCCUCCCAAGUCCAAAGCUCCUGCCUCUCGGCCGCUUCGGCAGGCCCAGCUCCCGCCUGCCAGUGGCCUCUUCAGGCCCAUGGGGCUCAUUCCUCACAACGGCCUUUCCAGGCCCAGUUUUUCCCUUCCGGCGGCCUCUCCGGGCCCAGAACCUCCUCAAGUCGGCCUCUCCAGACCCACUUGCACCCUCCGGGUGUCCUCUCUGGGCCCAGCUCUUCUUCCUGGUUGCGUCUCCAGGCCCGACUCCUGCCUCUCAACAACCUCUUUGGACUCAGUGCCUACCCAUCUCCUGGCGGCCUUGGUCGGCCCACAGCUUCCUGAAGCCAAGCUCCCCAGGCCCAGGUCAGGCCUCACGGUGGCCUCUCCAGGCUCAGCUCCUGCCCUCCGAUGGCAUCUGCAGGCCCCAAACGGCCUCCGGUCGGUGGGCUCCUCUAGGCCCAGCUUGGGCCUCCCGGCGGCCUCUGCAGGCCCAAGUCGUCCUCAAGUCGGCCUGGAAUUGGGCCUGGAAGAGCAGCAAGUCGGCCUCCCCGGGCCCAGCUCCGUCCUCUCGGCGGCCUCUCCAGGUGCAAAACUUCCUCGAGUCAGCCUCUCCAGGCCCAGCUCCUCCUGCCUCCCAGUGGCCUCUUUCAGCCCAGCCCAGCUCAUGGCUCUCAGCGGCCUUCCCAGGUCCCGCUUUUGACUUUUGGCAGCCUCUUCAGGCCCAGAACUUGACCUCCAGUCGGCCUUUGCAGUCCCGGCCUCCUGCCUCCCGAAGGCCUGCACGGGCCCGGCCUCGGCCUCGGCCUCACAGCGGACUCUCCACGCCCAGCUAGCUCUCGCCUCACUGCGGCCUCCCCAGUCCAAAGCUCCUGCCUUUCGGCCGCUUCUGCAGGCCCAGCUCCCGCCUGCCAGUGGCCUCUUUAGGCCCAGCUUAUUCCUCACAACGGCCUUUCCAGGCCCCGUUUUUCACUUCUGGCAGCCUCUUGGACUCUAAUUUUUUUAUCUUUUGUGUAUAAAUCCCAAAAUAUGGAAUUUUGGAAUAUUUCCAUCAUUAUAUAAAUAUUUUGGUAGGUAAUUUAUUUGGAGUGAGUUUCUGCACCAAGCCCGAAUUUUUUAUUUUAUUUUCCUUAUUAUUUGGUGUUAAACAGGUUUAAUGACGGUCAUGGCAACUUUCUGGCACAAUAAAAAAUAUCCCCG